rnacentral:rRNA from 1 species
CAGCAGCCGCGGUAAUUCCAGCUCCAAUAGCGUAUAUUAAAGUUGUUGCAGUUAAAAAGCUCGUAGUUGAAUUUCGGGGUUAGUAGGUUGGUCGUGCCACCGGUAUGUACUGGCUCUACUGAUCCCUCCUUCUUGUAGAACCGUAAUGCCAUUAACUUGGUGUUGCGGGGAAACAGGACUGUUACUUUGAAAAAAUUAGAGUGUUUAAAGCAGGCUAACGCUUGAAUACAUUAGCAUGGAAUAAUGAAAUAGGACGCUCGAUCCUAUUUUGUUGGUUUCUAGGAUUGACGUAAUGAUUAAUAGGGAUAGUUGGGGGCAUUAGUAUUCAAUUGUCAGAGGUGAAAUUCUUGGAUUUAUUGAAGACUAACUACUGCGAAAGCAUUUGCCAAGGAUGUUUUCAUUAAUCAAGAACGAAAGUUAGGGGAUCGAAGACGAUCAGAUACCGUCGUAGUCCUAACCAUAAACUAUGCCGACUAGGGAUCGGAUGAUGUUAAUUUUUUAAUGACUCAUUCGGCGCCUUACG